UAGGGAAUCUUCGGCAAUGGACGAAAGUCUGACCGAGCAACGCCGCGUGAGUGAAGAAGGUUUUCGGAUCGUAAAACUCUGUUGUUAGAGAAGAACAAGGACGUUAGUAACUGAACGUCCCCUGACGGUAUCUAACCAGAAAGCCACGGCUAACUACGUGCCAGCAGCCGCGGUAAUACGUAGGUGGCAAGCGUUGUCCGGAUUUAUUGGGCGUAAAGCGAGCGCAGGCGGUUUCUUAAGUCUGAUGUGAAAGCCCCCGGCUCAACCGGGGAGGGUCAUUGGAAACUGGGAGACUUGAGUGCAGAAGAGGAGAGUGGAAUUCCAUGUGUAGCGGUGAAAAGCGUAGAUAUAUGGAGGAACACCAGUGGCGAAGGCGGCUCUCUGGUCUGUAACUGACGCUGAGGCUCGAAAGCGUGGGGAGCAAACAGG
rnacentral:rRNA from 1 species